AUCCACGCAUCGCUGGCUUGCCUCUUGGGCCCGGUCGGAUUUUUGAGACAAAAGCAAUCCUCCAGAAGGUUUAGGUUGUUCAUUGUUCAGAGAUUACGGUUACAUAUUGGAGUUUAGUCUAUCAUUCGCUCUUGUCUUUUGUAUGAUAAAUAAACGUUUCUAGCAUGUGUUUUGACGGAAUUAUAAGUGGCUAACUUCUUUCAGAUCAUGCUUUCAUCGCUUGCCAUAGUGUAACCAAAUGGUUGAGGUUGACAUUUGAACUUGCUAGCAUUCUAUCUAUCUGUCUA